rnacentral:rRNA from 1 species
CCCUUAGAUGUUCUGGGCCGCACACGCGCUACACUGAAGGAGGCAGCGUGUACUCCUGGAUCGAAAGAUUUGGGUAACCCGCGAAUCGCCUUCGUGCUAGGGAUUGAGGUUUGCAAUUAUCCUUCAUGAACGAGGAAUUCCCAGUAAGUGCAAGUCAUAAGCUUGCGCUGACUACGUCCCUGCCCUUUGUACACACCGCCCGUCGCUACUACCGAUUGAAUGAUUUAGUGAGGACUUCGGACUGGGACCGAUGCGGCUUUCGGGCUGCGUCGGUAUUCUGGAAAGAUGUCCAAACUGUAUCAUUUAGAGGAAGUAAAANUCGUANCA